GAACAGCUGAUUGACUGCACACAGUGCACAUGCUAUUUAGUGUUAGACCUUUAAUUUUUUUAAGGAUUUUGUGUGCUGUUCUGUUCGUUUUGUAAUUGUUUUAAUAAUAAUUAAUCAACUAAAUAAAAUAAUACGAGUAGUGAGGAUGAACACGUUUUUGUAAACCUGGAGCAUCCAAAGAAAAGAAAGAAGAAUGCAUCUGAAUUGAAGAGAAACAAGGCUAAACUAAAGCGAUAUUCUGGGGAAGAAAAAAAUCCAGAUGCCACAAACUGUGUUUAACUUGCAAAGAAAAGGGAUUUACUUGGACUUUUAACAGCCAUGGGACAAAAUGACAAUACGGAUAAUAAGGAAUUUACAACCCAAUUUGUGCUGUGGAUGAUCUCACGGACACAGAUGAAAGCGACAAGGAAGAUGAGGCCACUGUAUAUACCAAUGAGGAUGCAUGGUGAAUCUGUAAAUCACCCUGGUUGUGGUUUGGAUGGAGAAAAAUAUACAUUUUCAAAACAUUUUUUACCAUUAAUUAAUAUAAUUGGUGCUAUUCCAGUUUUAAUUCAAUUUAUUCAUGUGCUUUUACUUUCUUGUCAUGUCAGCUUAAGUUGUUGGCAAAGGGGUGGGGGGGGGUAAUAUAGUGAAUCUGUGAAUCAUCCUGGUUUGGGUGUUAUGUUUUAAUGUAAUUUUCUAAAAUAAUUUCUGCCAAUAAUUUGAUUGAUUGGUGAUUCAACUCAGUUUUAUUUUUGUUUUUACCUUAUCGUGUCGGCAUAAUUUGUGGGGAGAGGCCAGCAUAAUUUGUGGGGAGAGGGGGCAGCAUAAUUUGUAGGGAGGGGUAAGAGACAAUUUGUAAGAUGUAUUAUGUAAAAUGAUCCUGUAUUGAGUAGAAUAACUGAUGCUAUUUAAAUCAUUAUCAAUGUAAUUACUUCUUGUGUUUAAAAUUUGUAUAGACUUUUGUUUAUCUACACACCUAUGAUGAAGUGGGGGAGGGGGAUAUAAUAUUUUCUUAAUUACCCUAAGUGACUUGUAUGACAUUUAUUGGUGCUAAUAAACUCUUUUAAUACUUAAAA